ensembl:lncRNA
UAGGCAUCACAGCUACCCGUGAGCGCCCCCCGGCGGCACAGCGCGGCACAUACAUACAUACAUACCCACCCCAUAGGCAUCCAUAGGCAUCACAGCUACUCGUGAGCGCCCCCCAGCGGCACAUGGCAACACACAGCGCCCCAUAGAGCCCCAUAGCCAUCACAGCCACUCGUGAGCGCCCCCCGGUGGCACAGCGCGGCACAUACAUACAUACAUACAUACAUAACCCCAUAGGCAUCACAGCUACUCGUGAGCGCCCCCUGGCGGCACAGCGCGGCACAUACAUACAUACAUACAUACAUACAUAACCCCAUAGGCAUCACAGACACUCGUGAGCGCCCCCCAGCGGCACACAGCGACCUAUAGAGCCCCAUAGGCAUCACAGCUACUCGUGAGCGCCCCCUGGCGGCACAGCGCGGCACAUCAUACAUACAUAACCCCAUAGCCAUCACAGCUACUCGUGAGCGCCCCCCGGCGGCACACAGCGACCUAUAGAGCCCCAUAGCCAUCACAGCUACUCGUGAGCGCCCCCCAGCGGCACCUCGCGGCACAUACAUGCAUACAUAACCCCAUAGGCAUCACAGCUACUCGUGAGCGCCCCCUGGCGGCACAGCGCGGCACAUACAUACAUAACCCCAUAGCCAUCACAGCUACUCGUGAGCGCCCCCCGGCGGCACCUCGCGGCACAUACAUACAUACAUAACUCCAUAAGCAUCACAGCCACUCGUGAGCGCCCCCCAGCGGCACCA